rnacentral:rRNA from 1 species
GAUGAACGCUAGCGGCAGGCUUAACACAUGCAAGUCGAGGGGUAUUGGUUUUCGGACCAAGAGACCGGCGCACGGGUGCGUAACGCGUAUGCAAUCUACCUUUUGCAGAGGGAUAGCCCCAGAGAAAUUUGGAUUAAUACCUCAUAGUAUAGUACUUUGGCAUCAAGGAACUAUUAAAGUCACAACGGCAAAAGAUGAGCAUGCGUCCCAUUAGCUAGUUGGUAAGGUAACGGCUUACCAAGGCUACGAUGGGUAGGGGUCCUGAGAGGGAGAUCCCCCACACUGGUACUGAGACACGGACCAGACUCCUACGGGAGGCAGCAGUGAGGAAUAUUGGACAAUGGGGCGCAAGCCUGAUCCAGCCAUGCCGCGUGCAGGAUGACGGUCCUAUGGAUUGUAAACUGCUUUAUACAGGAAGAAACACUCCGACGUGUCGGAGCUUGACGGUACUGUAAGAAUAAGGAUCGGACUAACUCCGUGCCAGCAGCCGCGGUAAA